rnacentral:rRNA from 1 species
GACGAACGCUGGCGGCGUGCUUAACACAUGCAAGUCGAACGGAAAGGCCUCUUUCGGGGGGUACUCGAGUGGCGAACGGGUGAGUAACACGUGAGUAACCUGCCCUUGACUUUGGGAUAACUUCAGGCAACUGGGGCUAAUACCGGAUAGGAGCUCCUGCUGCAUGGUGGGGGUUGGAAAGUUUCGGCGGUUGGGGAUGGACUCGCGGCUUAUCGGCUUGUUGGUGGGGUAGUGGAUUACCAAGGCUUUGCCGGGUAGCCGGCCUGAGAGGGUGACCGGCCACAUUGGGACUGAGGUGCGGCCCAGACUCCGACGGGAGGCAGCAGGGGGGAAGAUUGCACAAUGGGUGGAAGCCGGAUGCAGCAACGCCGUGGGCGGGAUGACGGCCUUCGGGUUGUAAACCGCUUUCGCUCAUGACGAAGCUUUGUGUGACGGUAGUGGGUAAAGAAGCACCGGCUAACUACGUG